CACCAUGUCAGAUGAGGAGGAUGGUCUAGAUGUCCUUAACAUUAAACCUCCACAAGCAGUCAUUGCUAAGCCAUCGCGGAGCAAACACAGUGAUCGUCUUUAUCAUUCCAGGUCUUCAUCAUCAUCCUCACAGCGGAAGAGCCAUCACCGUGGUCAUCACCAUGAAGAAAGGAGAAGGAGGCACAGGGAAAAAGAUGCAGAACAAAAAGAACUUUCCUGCAACAACAAUCCUUAGAAAUGUACCCAGCAGUGCGAGGCGACAGCAUGAUGAAUCCAGGGAUUCUCAUCGUAGUCGCCAUGAACAGCGAAGAGAAAGAAGGAGAGAAAGGAAUCCGGAAAGAACAAGAAAGAAUGUUCAGGAACAAAGAAUUGGAACGAGACAAGAGAAGAGAUCUCAGAAACCGUGAAGAAAGAAAAGAAAGAUUCAUGCAUGCGAACAGAAAGAGCCAGGAAUGAAUCUGCUGAGCUGAAAUUAUUAAAAUUGAAG
rnacentral:lncRNA from 1 species